rnacentral:rRNA from 1 species
AUUGAACGCUGGCGGCAGGCCUAACACAUGCAAGUCGAGCGGAUGAAGGGAGCUUGCUCCUGGAUUCAGCGGCGGACGGGUGAGUAAUGCCUAGGAAUCUGCCUGGUAGUGGGGGAUAACGUCCGGAAACGGGCGCUAAUACCGCAUACGUCCUGAGGGAGAAAGUGGGGGAUCUUCGGACCUCACGCUAUCAGAUGAGCCCAGGUCGGAUUAGCUAGUUGGUGGGGUAAAGGCCUACCAAGGCGACGAUCCGUAACUGGUCUGAGAGGAUGAUCAGUCACACUGGAACUGAGACACGGUCCUGACUCCUACGGGAGGCAGCAGUGGGGAAUAUUGGACAAUGGGCGAAAGCCUGAUCCAGCCAUGCCGCGUGUGUGAAGAAGGUCUUCGGAUUGUAAAGCACUUUAAGUUGGGAGGAAGGGCAGUAAGUUAAUACCUUGCUGUUUUGACGUUACCAACAGAAUAAGCACCGGCUAACUUCGUG